rnacentral:rRNA from 1 species
UACGUAGGGGGGCGAGCGUUGUCCGGAAUCACUGGGCGUAAAGCGCGCGUAGGCGGCUCGGUGCAUCCGGUGUGAAAGCCCUCGGCUCAACUGAGGGAGGUCACUGGAGAUGGCCGGGCUGGAGGACCGUAGAGGCAGGGGGAAGUCCCGCAGUAGUGGUGAAAUGCGUAGAGAGCGGGAGGAACACCAGUGGCGAAGGCGCCUGCUGGGCGGGACCUGGACGCUGAGGCGCGAAAGCUAGGGGAGCGAACGGGAAU